rnacentral:rRNA from 2 species
AAGUCGUAACAAGGUCUCCGUUGGUGAACCAGCGGAGGGAUCAUUACAGAGUUCUAAAAGACUCCCAAAACCAUUGUGAACGUACCCGUCAGCGUUGCCUCGGCGGGCGGCCCCUCCCUGGGGCCGCUGCCUCCCUCGGGGGGUGCCCGCCGGCGUACCAAAACUCUUUUGUAUUUUAGUGGCCUCUCUGAGAAAACAAGCAAAUAAGUUAAAACUUUCAACAACGGAUCUCUUGGUUCUGGCAUCGAUGAAGAACGCAGCGAAAUGCGAUAAGUAAUGUGAAUUGCAGAAUUCAGUGAAUCAUCGAAUCUUUGAACGCACAUUGCGCCCGCCAGUACUCUGGCGGGCAUGCCUGUUCGAGCGUCAUUUCAACCCUCAAGCCCUGCUUGGUGUUGGGGUCCUACGGCUGCCGUAGGCCCUGAAAGCUAGUGGCGGGCUCGCUAUAACUCCGAGCGUAGUAGUAAAAUAUCUCGCUAGGGAGGUGUCGCGGGUUCCGGCCGUGAAAGCCCAUCUUUUACACAAGGUUGACCUCGGAUCAGGUAGGAAUACCCGCUGAACUUAA